UACGGGGGGAGCAAGCGUUGUUCGGAUUCACUGGGCGUAAAGGGUGCGCAGGCGGCCGUGUGUGUCAGGUGUGAAAGCCCGGGCUUAACCCGGAAUUGCGCCUGAAACUACAUGGCUAGAGCAUUGGAGAGGGUAGCGGAAUUCACGGUGUAGCAGUGAAAUGCGCAGAUAUCGUGAGGAACACCAGAGGCGAAGGCGGCUACCUGGACAAUUGCUGACGCUCAGGCACGAAAGCGUGGGGAGCAAAAGGG
rnacentral:rRNA from 1 species